rnacentral:tRNA from 1 species
AUAAGUUUGACAGAUAAAUGUAUCAGGUUUAGAAUCUGCUCAUAAAAGUUAAAUUCUUUUAAUUUAUA